UACGUAGGGUGCAAGCGUUGUCCGGAAUUAUUGGGCGUAAAGAGCUCGUAGGCGGUUUGUCGCGUCUGCUGUGAAAACUCGGGGCUUAACCCCGGGCCUGCAGUGGGUACGGGCAGACUAGAGUGCGGUAGGGGAGUCUGGAAUUCCUGGUGUAGCGGUGAAAUGCGCAGAUAUCAGGAGGAACACCGGUGGCGAAGGCGGGUCUCUGGGCAGUAACUGACGCUGAGGAGCGAAAGCGUGGGGAGCGAACAGG
rnacentral:rRNA from 1 species